UACGUAGGAGGCAAGCGUUGUCCGGAAUUAUUGUGCGUAAAGCGCGCGCAGGCGGUCCGUUAAGUCUGAUGUGAAAGCCCAGGGCUCAACCGUGGAGGGUCAUUGGAAACUGGACGACUUGAGUACAGAAGAGGAAAGUGGAAUUCCACGUGUAGCGGUGAAAUGCGUAGAGAUGUGGAGGAACACCAGUGGCGAAGGCGCCUUUCUGGUCUGUAACUGACGCUGAGGCGCGAAAGUGUGGGGAGCAAACAGG
rnacentral:misc_RNA from 1 species